rnacentral:miRNA from 1 species
AUGUAGGGAUAGAAGCCACU